GACGAACGCUGGCGGCGUGCCUAAUACAUGCAAGUAGAACGCGGCAGUGAGGAGCUUGCUCUUCUUGGAUGAGUUGCGAACGGGUGAGUAACUCGUAGGUAACCUGCCUGGUAGCGGGGGGUAACUAUUGGAAACGAUAGCUAAUACCGCAUAAUAGUAGAUGUUGCAUGACAUUUGCUUAAAAGUUGCAAUUUCAUCACUACCAGAUGUACCAGCGUUGUAUUAGCUAGUUGGUGAGGUAGCGGCUCACCAAAGCAACGAUACAUAGCCGACCUGAGAGGGUAAUAGGCAAAACUGGGACUGGGACACGGCCCGGCAUACUACGAGAGGCAGCAGUAGGGGAUCUUCGGCGAUGGAAGGAAGGCGGACCGAGCAACGCCGCGUGAGUGCAGAAGGCAUUCAGGUCGUAAAGCUCAGUUGUAAGAGAAGAUCGUGUGGGAGAGUGGCAAGUGCACACUGUGACGGUAUCUUACCAGAAAGCGACGGCUAACUACGUG
rnacentral:rRNA from 1 species